rnacentral:rRNA from 1 species
ACUCCUACGGGAGGUAGCAGUGGGGAAUAUUGCACAAUGGGCGCAAGCCUGAUGCAGCCAUGCCGCGUGUAUGAAGAAGGCCUUCGGGUUGUAAAGUACUUUCAGCAGUGAGGAAGGUGGGUAUGUUAAUAGCAUACUCAUUUGACGUUAGCUGCAGAAGAAGCACCGGCUAACUCCGUGCCAGCAGCCGCGGUAAUACGGAGGGUGCGAGCGUUAUCCGGAUUUAUUGGGUUUAAAGGGUCCGUAGGCGGGUUAAUAAGUCAGUGGUGAAAUCCCAUCGCUUAACGAUGGAACUGCCAUUGAUACUGUUAGUCUUGAAUGAGGGUGCAGUGGUUGGAAUGUGUAGUGUAGCGGUGAAAUGCAUAGAUAUUACACAGAACACCGAUUGCGAAGGCAGAUCACUAACCCUAAAUUGACGCUGAGGGACGAAAGCGUGGGGAGCGAACAGGAUUAGAUACCCUGGUAGGAUAGCGU